rnacentral:rRNA from 1 species
CCUACGGGUGGCAGCAGUAGGGAAUAUUGCUCAAUGGGGGAAACCCUGAAGCAGCAACGCCGCGUGGAGGAUGAAGGUUUUCGGAUUGUAAACUCCUUUUGUCAGAGAAGAUAAUGACGGUAUCUAACGAAUAAGCACCGGCUAACUCCGUGCCAGCAGCCGCGGUAAUACGGAGGGUGCAAGCGUUACUCGGAAUCACUGGGCGUAAAGAGCGCGUAGGCGGGAGAGCAAGUCAGAUGUGAAAUCCUAUGGCUUAACCAUAGAACUGCAUUUGAAACUGUUAUGCUAGAGUAUGGGAGAGGUAGGUGGAAUUCUUGGUGUAGGGGUAAAAUGCGUAGAGAUCAAGAGGAACACUCAUGGCGAAGGCGACCUGCUAGAACAUAACUGACGCUGAUGCGCGAAAGCGUGGGGAGCAAACAGGAUUAGAUACCCGAGUAGUC